ACACACACUUAUGUGUGUGUGUGAAUUUUAAUUUCUCUUAUUCUAUUACUGGAAAGAAUAAGGAAAAAAGUGGGUGUGAUUUGUUUUUUGGGAUUCGAAGCAAACAAAAAUCGAAGGGGAGGAAGAAGAAACUGAUUUCGUGUUCAUAACUGAAAUAUGUUGUUUAAACAUCUUCAUCUAUGUGUGAUUAUAAGGACGAACACCAGUGGAGGUAAAGGGAAAGAAAAGAUGUGAAGGGAGAUUAUUAUUGCUUUACAUCUGUGGAAAGUUUUGAAGCUGAAUAUGUGCAUGCACUUGAUAACGCGUAAUAUACAAGUCAUGUACUAUGUAUGAACAAAAAGUGUAGCAAUCUGUACGUCUGAGACGAAUAUGUACAUUUGUAUUUCAUAUUAUAUGAAAUAUGUUGAUUUUAUGC